GCCCUGGUGGCGAAAUUGGUAGACGCACGGGACUUAAAAUCCCGCGGACUUCAAACUCCGUGCCGGUUCGACUCCGGCCCAGGGCACCA
rnacentral:tRNA from 3 species